UCUGCCCAGCCCAGGAGCUCUGCACAUGCGUACUUAUGUGUGGGCAGGUAACUGGAAAAGAAGGUUGGGAGUGAAGGAACUCUGGCCUCAGAGGCUCUGAAACCUGGGUUUCAGUGCGCUGCCAGCUGCCUCGUCUGCUUCUCAGAGAGUCAGUGCUAUCUCACUGAGCCAGCAGGAGGAGAAAAUCGCCACGUAUUCCCAACCCAGAGGAAGAAGAUCGCGACUCGCGUUUCCCUUGUGGGACAGGAUAAAGUCCACCCAGGGACACUUCAGUGAAGUGCAGCUCAGCUUUUCAUAACCGUGAGACUCCCCUGCAUCCUGAUGAAAGUGUGAAUGCAGCCUUCACGAUCACAAACAGUGUGCUUGAGUUUACCUCAUCAGUGGAAACUGCAGAAGUGAGCACUUCAGAGAGUGGAGGAUGAGCCUCUCCAUGGGAAAGCCACUUUGUAAUGACACUGGUUCCCUGCAAGAACCCAGAGCAUCCUUCAGAUCCUCACUGUGAGAACCAUCCAGGAGUGCUGAGCUUGAUGGGAUGAGAUCAGCAAUACAGCAGCAAUUCCAGAACAGCCUCCUGUGGUUUUCUGGUCCAGGUUGCUUCGACUCCAGAUGCUUUAUAGUAAAAUGUGUCACUGAAGAGAAGGGGACUACUGAUCUGAAUGGAAAAGAGCAAUGGAUUGAAACAUCAGUUCCACAGAAUCCAUGCAGCCUGAUAAGGAACACGAGAGGGAGCUCUGUCAGCUGUGGCUGCUCUCUCUACACCCUGGGCCCAGGUAUAAGAGGAAGUGUUGAGAGUCUGUCCUCCAGAAGGUAGCCUUCCUGCUUAUCCAUUGUUGUCUCAUGGAUUGAUAGUUACAGAAGACCAGGUAAUUAACUUUAUCAUAACAUAUCAUUGCACAUUCACACACGUCUCUCAGUGGAUAUAAAAUUUACUCUGUGUGUACAUACGAGUUCACAGUAAUGUGCAUAUGAGUGCAUGUGAGGAGCUCAGAGGACAAGCAUCAGGAGACUGUUCUCUCCUUUACCCAUAUGGGAUGUGUGGAUGAAGCCUGGAAUGGACAUCCUGCUAUCCAAAAUGCUAUUGACGUGAGUCAUUGAGGGUCUGUUAAGUUGUGUGAAUAGUUACACUCUGAAAUUUUAGUUCUGGAGCACAAAGCAUUACCAAGCUUUGCUCCCUCAAAGGUGAUUCUGAAUCAACAGGUUUCAGUCUAUGGAUCAAUCCAUCCCACACAUGUGGUGGCUAAUGUUGCAAUUAAUUAGAAGCUACAUUAUAUAGUCUGUUUCAGUGAGUGAUGCCCUGCACUGUGUCACACUCUGUAAAGAUAGACCACAGCACUGGAUGUGGCUCUAACUGAAAUGACUUGUCCCACACUAAGCUCUGUGCACAACUCAUCCUUAGCUUCCUGACUCUGCAUCCUCACUACCUCUACCUCAUCUCUUCCUCAAACAUGUAGAAAGUUCUAAGUUUAUUCUUCUGUCUUACUGGUCAGGCUCAAGGUCUGCACUUGGACUUUUCUUAGAAGGAAACAACCCAGGACGCUGAAGUUAUCCUUUGACUUAAUAGAUGGAGGGAGUUCUAUCACAUGCCCCACUAAAUACUUCACUAUAUCUACUGCAUAGAUACCCAUGUUAGGAUUUGAAAUUGAAAGCAGUAUCUGAUUACUCUGUAAACCAGGUUUCAACCAUGCAAUCCAUUUUGCAACAUAAUGUAACUCAGUAAAUGAGAAUUAAGAUUUGUAGACAUAAAAUGGCUUGGUGGAACAGUAGAAGUUAACACCUAAGAAAAAGUUUAGAUCAACUAUGAUUUAAACCUAGGCACAGAUUUAUUAAAUAUGAUGUUUUGGAAUAUAAGAUUAUUAUGACUGAAUGGAAACUUAGUAAUUACUAAAGAAGCAGACCUGAAACUGAUUAUGUCCAUGAUAUGUUAAUUAGGCAAACACCAACCUAAAUUUUUUUCUUUUUAUUGAUUUAUUUAUUUUUAAAUUUAAAUUAGAAAAAAAGGUUGCU